UCUCAUUCACAUUUCAUUAUCGAGGCCCCGCGGCGAUCCGUCAUUGCAAAAUCCGCGCGGGAGAGCCGUCCAGUGUGUUCUUACGCUUACUCCUGAAUAAAUUCGACCGAUUUCCAACCGUUGAACAUUGUGCUUAAAGUUGAACGAAUUUAAUAUAAAUUCUUAAACUAAUCCGAACGUUUUACAAAUAUAACGGCAUCCGGGGAAAAGGAAAAGUUCAGGGAUAUCUUAAAACAAGUGUGUACAGUGUUUGAGAACGGAUUAGUGGUUUGCUCGAUUAAUGCAUCGUUGAAUUGCAAAUAUCGGCAGGCGCAGCAAAGCAAAGUACCUUCGAAGAAGCGGAAAAUUACUAAGAAACUGGUGGUGAACGCGAGAAGUGAUAAUAAGAACUAUCGGAACUCUGAAAAUUACGGAAAGACACACCGGCAUAGGUUCAGAAAUCAAAGACCGAGGAGAUGCUGGCAGAAUUCAGAAUAAGUCUGGAUCAAAGCUUUGCAGUUACCUGUGACAACGGAAGGAACAUGAUUGCAGCCGUUAAUCAGUUGCAAUCAUAUCUGCAAACGAUGCCCUUUCCGAUCGAUGAUGCAGAAGACGAAAACACAGACAAUCUCCAAGAUUCCGUUUCAUGUCCGUUUUUUGAGCUCCAUAAACAACCACUGCUUCCUCUUUACUGGAAAGCACGUUGGGGCGGUGUCUUUCAGAUAAUAGAGUUCUACAGCAAGCACGAAAUCUUGCAGAACAAUGAGAAUCUCCGAAUACGUGGCAUACGCCCGUGAGUAAUCGGUCCCUCAUUCCUUUACCCAUAGAAAAAGUGAUAAUGUAAAUAA